rnacentral:rRNA from 1 species
GACGAACGCUGGCGGCGUGCUUAACACAUGCAAGUCGAACGGAAAGGCCCUGCUUGCAGGGUACUCGAGUGGCGAACGGGUGAGUAACACGUGGGUGAUCUGCCCUGCACUUCGGGAUAAGCCUGGGAAACUGGGUCUAAUACCGGAUAGGAGCCAUUUUUAGUGUGAUGGUUGGAAAGUUUUUUCGGUGUAGGAUGAGCUGGCGGCCUAUCAGCUUGUUGGUGGGGUAAUGGCCUACCAAGGCGGCGACGGGUAGCCGGCCUGAGAGGGUGGACGGCCACAUUGGGACUGAGAUACGGCCCAGACUCCUACGGGAGGCAGAAGUGGGGAAUAUUGCACAAUGGGCGCAAGCCUGAUGCAGCGACGCCGCGUGGGGGAUGACGGCCUUCGGGUUGUAAACGCCUUUCGCUAGGGACGAAGCUUUUUGUGACGGUACCUAGAUAAGAAGCACCGGCUAACUACGUG